rnacentral:rRNA from 1 species
AGCGAACGCUGGCGGCAGGCCUAACACAUGCAAGUCGAGCGCCCCGCAAGGGGAGCGGCAGACGGGAGAGUAACACGUGGGAACGUACCCUUUGGUUCGGAAUAACCCAGGGAAACUUGGGCUAAUACCGGAUAAGCCCUUACGGGGAAAGAUUUAUCGCCGAAGGAUCGGCCCGCGUCUGAUUAGCUAGUUGGUGGGGUAACGGCCCACCAAGGCGACGAUCAGUAGCUGGUCUGAGAGGAUGAUCAGCCUCACUGGGACUGAGACACGGCCCAGACUCCUACGGGGGGCAGCAGUGGGGAAUAUUGGACAAUGGGCGCAAGCCUGAUCCAGCCAUGCCGCGUGGGUGAUGAAGGCCCUAGGGUUGUAAAGCCCUUUCGGCGGGGAAGAUAAUGACGGUACCCGCAGAAGAAGCCCCGGCUAACUUCGUGCCAGCCGCCGCGGUAA